UACGUAGGGGGCAAGCGUUGUCCGGAUUUAUUGGGCGUAAAGAGCGUGUAGGCGGCCAUGCAGGUCAGCUGUGAAAACUCGAGGCUCAACCUCGAGACGUCGGUUGAAACCGUAUGGCUAGAGUCCGGAAGAGGAGAGUGGAAUUCCCGGUGUAGCGGUGAAAUGCAUUGAGAUCGGAAAGAACACCAACGGCGAAAGCACUCUGCUGGGCCGACACUGACACUGAGAGACGAAAGCUAGGGGAGCAAAUGGG
rnacentral:rRNA from 1 species